AAAGACAUUUCAAAAUAAAUUUGAUUAUUUUUUUUAUUUUUAUAAUACAUUUGAUUUGAUUCUUACAGUACAUAACCGCUGAUAAUCAAGAGUAUCUGAAGGUUAAGAAGAGGACCAAACAAAAGUCAGAGAAGGUAUCUAGCGAUAUAUUUUACAUGCUGAUGAUGCCAUCCAUAGUUGAUUAUUUUAUUCAACACGUCCAUACAAUCAAUAGAUUAACAAUGCCUUGUGCCAUUUUGUGAAUGAAAUGCGUCUCAGUUAAUGUAUUAGGCGUCUAAGCUCAAAACACAACUUUGAUAGAAUAAUCAAGAGAAAGUCCUAACAUAUAACUGGUAAACCCAAUGCCUUGUCUACAUGUUCUCUACCUUUCAGUCCUAUUCCCACUCCUCCAGAAGCAGGGCAGUGAUGACCCCAAUUGUCCCUAUAGCUCUGGGGGAGCUGGAGUCCCCUGGAACCAGUGAUGAUGAGGAGGCCACAGACCGGAAGGAGAGGGUCUCCAGUGCCAGGGAACGGCAUGAGCAAGCCAGAGCCAUGAUGGACACAUUCACUGAGAAGUUCCACUCUAUCGCAGAGGAUCUCCAAGAGAUGAAGAUUCCCAGGAAGAGGUCCACUCGACUGCGGUCAUCAUGCUCCCAGUCUGCCAAUGAGGAUGGAUCCCCCCUGGCCUCUACCCAAUCAGAUAAGGCCCUGAGGCGAGACUGGUCACGACAUAUGAUUACAGCCGGAGAGGCCGGUGGUGACAUCAUUCGAACACCUUCAUCAGCGUCAUUAUUCUCUUUGCCAACCAUUUAUGAGGUCGUCAAGGGGAGCAGCGAGUCCAAACCUGAUGUGUCCGGAGAUGAUGUCAAAAAGAGCAAGACGUCCAAAUGUAAAGUCAGGCAAGGCUUUCGCUAUUUCACCAAGGCUUUGACUGGACUGUUGGUUAGUACGUUUGAUGUAUUUAUUUUUUAUUUUAUUUUAUUUAUUUUAAUUUCAGCAUGAAUGACUUCAUGUCUCUUUUACUUUUCAUGAACCUCCCAAAGCGUACAAAAGAUGACCCUACUGGAGAUGGACGGAUUGCGCGAAGUGUGACACCAUCCAAUGACACACUCAACAUGGUCAUGGCUCCUCCACAUCCACUCACUAACUGGCAUUUGUGAGCUACAUUCAGACAAAAAGGCAACCGCAUUUUGUAUGGAUGAUAUUUAGCAGAGGAUAUGUUUUUCUUAUAUAAAGGGUACAAAUGAAUAAUACAACUGUUCUGUUGGGAGUGGCGGUGUUUGGGUGGAAUCACUGGGGAAGCCAGAAAAAAAGCCAUGUGUUGUGAUAAUUGCGUUGUUUGCUCUAUAAAUCCUUUGCUCUAUAAAUCCAACCCUAGACUUUGAGAUUGACAGAGUAUGCAUCAACCUCUGUUCCUACCCAGCACUAACUGAUUCUACUGAUCAUCAAGACCUUCAUUAGAUAUACAGCUCUGUAAAGAAAUGAAGAGACCACUGCAAAAUGAUCAGUUUCUCUGGUUGUACUAUUUAUAGGUAUGUUUUUGGGUAAAAUUAACAUUUGUUUUAUUCUAUAAACUAUUGACAACAUUUCUCCCAAAUUCCAAAUAAAAAUAUUGUAAUUUAGAGCAUUUAUUUGCAGAAAAUGACAACUGGUCAAAAUAACAAUAAAGAUGCAAUGUUUUCAGUCCUCGAAUAAUGCAAUGAAAAGAAGUUCAUAUUCAUUUUUAAACAACACAAUACUAAUGUUUUAAUUUAGGAAAAGUUCAGAAAUCAAUAUUUGGUGGAAUAACCCUGAUUUUCAAUCCCAGCUUUCAUGCGUCUUGGCAUGUUCUCCACCAGUCUUUCACAUUGAUGUUGGGUGACUUUAUGCCACUCCUGGCUCAAAUAUUCAAGCAGCUGGGCUUUGUUUGAUGGCUUGUGACCAUCAAUCUUCCUCUUGAUCACAUUCCAGAGGUUUUCAAUGGGGUCCAGGUCUGGAGAUUGGGUGGUCUUGAUCUGGUGGUCCUCCAUCCACACCUUGAUUGACCUGGCUGUGUGGCAUGGAGCAUUGUCUUGCUGUAGAGCAUUGCCUUGCUGAAGCACCCCCAGAUCAUCACCGAUCCUCCACCAAAUUUCACAUAGGUUGCAAGAUCUGGAGAGGCCUACAAGCCGCAGUGUCUCGCACCCACUGUGAAAUUUGGUGGAGGAUCCGGUGAUGAUCUGGGGGUGCUUCAGCAUGGCUGGAAUCGGGCAGAUUUGUCUUUGUGAAGGACGCAUGAAUCAAGCCACGUACAAGGUUGUCCUGGAAGAAAACUUGCUUCCUUCUGCUCUGACAAUGUUCCCCAACUCUGAGGAUUUUGUUUCUCCAGCCGGAGAGCACUAAACAUUUUCGGACCACUACACAACUAUUGAUAUAGAACUACAGAGAGUUACCGCAAGUCGCAAAGAAAACAGGAGCUGCCUCCUCUAUUCCAGCACCAUUUCAACAUCAUCAAACCCCCUCUGGUUAGUCUAAUACAGUGACAACUAAAAGAUACCAAAAACGAUUUAGUCCAAAUGUAAGCUAAAUAUGAUGUGACUGUCCAUGGUUCUGAUUUUUGUGUGCUUGUGCGUGUGUGUGCACAUUCAUUCAAGUAGAAAAAACGUGUUUACCCACCCUACUUAUAGAGAAACGCCAAUGCCAUCCUCCUCUCUUGCAUGCUGACGAAAGUGUCUAUCACUCCGUCAUACAUAUCAGGCUUUUAUGUCAUACAUAUCAGGCUUUUAUUUUUUGUUUUCCUAGGCUACCUGGCUAAAAUGCAUGCUUGCGAGCCUAACUUCCUUUCAUGGGCAACGUUAGCUAGUUAAACAUUAGCCUAACAUCUAUCUACAUAUUGAACUCUCAGGCCCAGGGGCACAAUGUAUGAAUGAAUGUUUGGAUUAGGAUCACUGUUAUAAUCAUUGGCCAAUACGGAGAAUUAAGUAACUACAAGUCCAAAUCCCUAUCUCACAUCCAUUGCUAAUUUAGGAAAGGGGCAAUUUUAGCUGGCUGGCUAGCAACCAGAGGACAACAACACAAUAAGAUGCAACAAUUCAAGUUGUUUCUGUUAAUAACGUAUGCUCUCAAUGCGAUUUGAUAGGAGUGACUGGCUUCCCUCGUAGAACAGCUAAAUACUUUUUAGCCCUUCCACGUCACUUUACUCACAGAAAAUGUCUGCUAAAUAUAGAAUCACAUGGUUUAUCCAUCUCUCUGUAACUGCCCAUAACUUCACAAAGUUGCCAAUGUCUGCAAUUGAUACAAACCAUCAACGUAUAAAGGUAUAAAAUACAAACAGUUGCAUAAUUCAAUCAUAUUGAAAAGCAUUUAAUGUUCACUCAAUUGAGUUAUAUUUUGCUAAUGUACGCUACUGUCUGUAAUUUGUCUCAGUAAAUUUCAUAAUGGGUAGCCUAACAUCAAAUAACAUUUUAUUUGUCACAUACACGUGUUUAGCAAAUGUUAUUGCGGGUGUCGUGAAAUGCUUGUGUUUCUAGCGCCAACAGCUCCAACAUCCAGUAAUAUCUAAUACGUAAUAUCUAACAAUGCACACAAUCUAAAGUAAAGGAAUGGAAUUAAGAAUAAAUAAAUAUUUGGAUGACCAAUGUCAGAGCGGCAUAGACUAAGAUACAGUAGAAUUGGAUAGAGUACAGUAUAUACAGUGGGGCAAAAAAGUAUUUUUACAUUUGUUACAUUUGUUAUUUGCAAAUACAUUCAUUAGAAAUCCUACAAUGGGAUUUUCUGGAUUUUUUUUUCUCAUUUUGUUUGUCAUAGUUGAAGUGUACCUAUGAUGACAAUUACAGGCCUCUGUCAUCUUUUUAAGUGGGAGAACCUGCACAAUUGGUGGCUGACUAAAUACUUUUUUGCUCCACUGUACAUACACUGCUCAAAAAAAUAAAGGGAACACUUAAAAAACACAAUGUAACUCCAAGUCAAUCACACUUCUGUGAAAUCAAACUGUCCACUUAGGAAGCAACACUGAUUGACAA
ensembl:lncRNA